UAACAUCCAUAGGCUAACUGGCCCUCAGGCUGGGUUGGGUGAAUAUCUCUUCAAAAGGCUCACCCUCAAGCAAGACUAAGAGA
rnacentral:pre_miRNA from 1 species